GACGAACGCUGGCGGCGUGCUUAACACAUGCAAGUCGAGCGAGGCCCAUCCUUCGGGGUGGUGCCCUAGCGGCGAACGGGUGAGUAACACGUGGGCAACCUGCCCUCAGCUCUGGGAUAACUCCAAGAAAUUGGUGCUAAUACCGGAUGUGACCGCUGACCGCAUGGUCUGGUGGUGGAAAGAUUCAUCGGCUGAGGAUGGGCCCGCGGCCUAUCAGCUUGUUGGUGGGGUAAUGGCCCACCAAGGCGACGACGGGUAGCCGGCCUGAGAGGGUGACCGGCCACCCUGGGACUGAGACACGGCCCAGACUCCUACGGGAGGCAGCAGUGGGGAAUAUUGCGCAAUGGGCGAAAGCCUGACGCAGCGACGCCGCGUGAGGGAUGACGGCCUUCGGGUUGUAAACCUCUUUCAGUAGGGACGAAGCGAAAGUGACGGUACCUACAGAAGAAGCACCGGCCAACUACGUG
rnacentral:rRNA from 1 species